rnacentral:rRNA from 1 species
ACCAGACUCCUACGGGAGGCAGCAGUGGGGGAUAUUGCACAAUGGGGGAAACCCUGAUGCAGCGACGCCGCGUGAGUGAAGAAGUAUUUCGGUAUGUAAAGCUCUAUCAGCAGGGAAGAAAAAAGGCGGUACCUGACUAAGAAGCCCCGGCUAACUACGUGCCAGCAGCCGCGGUAAUACGUAGGGGGCAAGCGUUAUCCGGAUUUACUGGGUGUAAAGGGAGCGUAGACGGCAAUACAAGUCGGAAGUGAAAUACCCGGGCUUAACCUGGGAACUGCUUUGGAAACUGUAUGGCUGGAGUGCAGGAGAGGUAAGUGGAAUUCCUAGUGUAGCGGUGAAAUGCGUAGAUAUUAGGAGGAACACCAGUGGCGAAGGCGGCUUACUGGACAGUAACUGACGUUGAGGCUCGAAAGCGUGGGGAGCAAACAGGAUUAGAUACCCGGGUAC